GACGACUACGGCUCCGGCGAUCGUCUCAAGAAGAGAGAAAAAUGAAGGGAAAGCUUCAAAAUUUCAGAGGAAUGGGGGAGGGAUGGGGCUCCUCUGAGGGUUUCCUAACCCUCUUCACGAAGAGAGAGAGGGGAAGAGAGGGGGCUUGCGGGGGAUUCGCUGGCCGUUCGGCCGGCGUGGUCAUCGUGGGGAGACCACGAUGACCCAACUGAAGUCGGCACUCCUAGGAUGGGCCCAAUUCGGGUCUUCACAGAUAUGAUAUAAGAUGUAAUCAUGGGAUUUGUUGGUGGGCAUUUUGGUCAUUAGAAAAGGUUUAUUAAAAUGAAAAUAGCUUUCCGAUAUUGUUCAAAAAGCACUUGUGGGAAAAAGCUUCAAAAUAGGGUUUUUUUGAAGUAAACCUUUUCAGUUUUAUGGCAAAGCCAAAAUAACUUUCUGAUUUUUUUACUAAUCGAUCCCAAAAAAGUACUUUUGAAGAGCCAAAAAAUAUUUUCUGGUUUUUCAAAAGCUUUACCAAAUUGGGCCUUAAUCUGCUUGGUAGGUGCAUAAAAUGUAGCUGCUUAUUUGCAACCUCCGCGCAGGAACUUUGUUGUUAGGAUACACGUGCCAUGGUUAUGGCGCUUUUGAGGGGUGUCUCAUCUUAAUGAUGUCAAAAGCGAAAGGAACUUGUCUUCGUGGUAUAUACUUGAUGGAUGCCCAAACAGCAUCGCAUCCCGAUGAGAACCCUUCCAGGUAAAACCUAGGACCCACGAAGGCAUUUCUUCCUCGUUAUCGAGAUAUUUUUUUUCUGAUUACUUUUUUUAUGUUAUAUGGUAGUUUAUAAUUAGCUGCAAUUGACGGCAAGAAACUUCCUAAACUGCUUCAAUUUAGGACUGCAAUUCGGAUUGGCUGGGUCAGGUCGAGGGCAAACCGUAACCCAAUUCUACCUCUAAAUCUCCCAAUUCUAACCCAACUCAAUCUAAUCUCAGGUUGGGAUUUUCUCUAACCCCAAGCACAUGCUAAGCUACAUGGGUUGUGAUAUGCCAUGCCAAUUGAGUUAAACUGGAUUGAAUAGGAAUCUUAGAACAGGAAAAUAAUUUGGGGCGUUUUUGUUCCAGCAACCAGAUAUCUCAUAUUCUGAACGUAGUCUAACACAGUCAAUAUGCUAAUGCAUAGCUCUAGUUUCUGCUAUAUCCUGGGAUGAUCCUAAGAUAAUAACCCAAAUCAUCCGUAAUAGAUGUAUGUCCAAAUGCGAUAGAUUGUUAGUGGAGAGAGAGAGAGAGAGAUGCUUGCUUGCGAUCCGCUAGACAUAAGGUACAAUAAUGACGGAAUCACAAAGCACACAAAGAGGCAAGAUAAACAAUAUGCGAAAGAAGCAAUGCAGUAAACCCAAAGAAGUAGCUUCCACAUUAUACUUCUACCAAGCCUUAGGCCCAUUUGGGAGAGCUUUUAGAGUAUCAAAAAGUACUUUUG
rnacentral:lncRNA from 1 species